rnacentral:rRNA from 1 species
GUGGGGAAUUUUGGACAAUGGGCGCAAGCCUGAUCCAGCAAUGCCGCGUGCAGGAAGAAGGCCUUCGGGUUGUAAACUGCUUUUGUACGGAACGAAACGGUCCUGGUUAAUACCUGGGGCUAACGACGGUACCGUAAGAAUAAGCACCGGCUAACUACGUGCCAGCAGCCGCGGUAAUACGUAGGGUGCGAGCGUUAAUCGGAAUUACUGGGCGUAAAGCGUGCGCAGGCGGUGCUGUAAGACAGGCGUGAAAUCCCCGGGCUCAACCUGGGAAUUGCGCUUGUGACUGCAGUGCUGGAGUACGGCAGAGGGGGAUGGAAUUCCGCGUGUAGCAGUGAAAUGCGUAGAUAUGCGGAGGAACACCGAUGGCGAAGGCAGUCCCCUGGGCCUGUACUGAAGCUCAUGCACGAAAGCGUGGGGAGCAAACAGGAUUAGAAACCCAGUAGUCC